UACGGAGGGUGCAAGCGUUAUCCGGAUUCACUGGGUUUAAAGGGUGCGUAGGUGGGAAGGUAAGUCAGUGGUGAAAUCCCCGAGCUCAACUUGGGAACUGCCAUUGAUACUAUCUUUCUUGAAUACCUUGGAGGUGAGCGGAAUAUGUCAUGUAGCGGUGAAAUGCUUAGAUAUGACAUAGAACACCAAUUGCGAAGGCAGCUCACUACACGGUCAUUGACACUGAGGCACGAAAGCGUGGGGAUCAAACAGG
rnacentral:rRNA from 1 species